rnacentral:rRNA from 1 species
AGCGAACGCUGGCGGCAGGCUUAACACAUGCAAGUCGAGCGGGCACUUUCGGGUGUCAGCGGCGGACGGGUGAGUAACGCGUGGGAACGUGCCCUCUGGUUCGGAAUAACUCAGGGAAACUUGUGCUAAUACCGGAUACGCCCUUUUGGGGAAAGGCUUGCUGCCGGAGGAUCGGCCCGCGUCUGAUUAGCUAGUUGGUGAGGUAACGGCUCACCAAGGCGACGAUCAGUAGCUGGUCUGAGAGGAUGAUCAGCCACACUGGGACUGAGACACGGCCCAGACUCCUACGGGAGGCAGCAGUGGGGAAUAUUGGACAAUGGGCGCAAGCCUGAUCCAGCCAUGCCGCGUGAGUGAUGAAGGCCUUAGGGUUGUAAAGCUCUUUUAUCCGGGACGAUAAUGACGGUACCGGAGGAAUAAGCCCCGGCUAACUUCGUG